ensembl:lncRNA
CCAAUAUGAAAUAUUAAUUCAUUUAUUAUCAGUAAGUGCUUUAUCCUUAUCUGUCCCAGAAUUAGCAUUAGGGAUGAGGCUGUAAGCAACCAAGUAUGUGACUUAAAUUCACAAACUACAUUUACUACUAGGAGCCAGUUUCCAGUUCACCUCACUAUUUUUGAGUGUAGAAUAUCAGAUGAACAAAAAUCCAAAUAUCUGUUUCCAAUCGCAUUUCAUAAAAUGUAGUAUUAAAUUGGCAGAUAAUUACUUGGCAGUACAAGUUCAGGGGUUGUUGUCUGCGAUGAACUGGAUUCAUAAAUAUAUUUUCUGAAACCCAAUCUUAGCUUAACCUGCUUAUUCAGAUAUAAUGCAGAUAUAGACACCUGGCUAAAGAAUUUUAGUCCCCUUCUGAAGUGUGUAUAAAAGAGUUUAGCCAGACUCGCUACGACUUUCCCAGAUGCUCUCUGGCAGUCUCUGAGUGAGUACUGGCUGAUUUCAAAUGUACCUUGUACCUACUAUGAGUAUUUUAGGUUCAGAGUAAAGGCUUAUGGUUAUACCAGUAUGGUCAGUUACAUAAUUUAUCUAUAAAUUAUUGUGCAUGGUUUAUACCUUGUUUAUAGCACAUUAGCUAAUCUUGCUGUUGGAUUUGUUACUGUUGCCUUUGUAUGUUUAAUCUGGUUGACAUAAUAUUUAUUUAUGUAAAAUCAUAUUUUAAACAUUGUAAACAUAUGUAAAUAUUUAAAAAUAUACAACUAAAUACAUUUAUGUAUAAAAUACAAAACCCUUUUUAUUUCAGAAUGUUGUGAAAAUGGAGCAGCUAGUUUACAAGAUCUUGAUAAUUAGUAUUGAAAUAUUAGUGUAGAGAUCAUUGGGCAGUAGUUUUAGAACUGAAAUGUCUCCAAGAUGACUCACUGGGUUACUAAUGACCAUCCUAAAUGCCUGUCUUAAUAUUCACUUGGAUGAAAGUCCUCUGUUACACACUGCAGCUGUGGCAUCACACAGCAUUCGCCUUGUUUAUUUUUAGAGCCAUGCAGCUUCUUUUUUUUUUUUUGGAUGAAGGUGGGCUAUAGCACUGUGAAUGCAAGUCCUAUCUGAAAGACAUCUUCUGUUCUUGUCGAGCAUCAUUACCUCAGUUUAACAGAUGUAGUUGAAAUUGCAUGCUUUAGUGGAGACUCGUAUCAUCAGCAGGAAGCUACCUGUCUGUUGAACUGGUACCCAAGAAAACCUUUUCUGCACUUCAUCAGGUAAGUGCUGACAUUUUUCUCACAUAAAAUUGAUAAAAUUCAUAACCUGUUAGUUCCCAAAAACUAUAUAAUUCACCUAAUUUUAAAUACUUUACACAACGUGGCAGUUUGCAUUGUUUAUCUAAUUUUCCAAAUAUAAGUAUUCUGUUUUGAAAACCACUGUAAAAAAUGGAACUUUAUCGAUUAUUAAUAUAAUGAUUUUAAAAGAUUGAUUCUUGAUUACUUAAUAGAAUCAUUUUAAUAGUACACCACUUCUGUUUUUUAUUAUGUUUUGAGAUAAUGUGUGAUAUCCUGUUCCCUUUCUCUUAUCUCCAAAUAUUUUUGAUAGCAAUAUGUAAGAAUUUUUUUCCGUGUAGGCCAGAAAAUACCUUGCUCUGUAACUCUGUCUAGGAAUGUUAAUUGUGUGGCAAGAAAAUCACGUACAGUGUCAUAGUGUUGGAUGUGCUAUAAUUCCUUUUGUACACAAUCCGAAGGUGAAAAUGACAUCUG